GUUUGGGACCGGUUCGGUUUAUAUCGGGUUCGGGUCGGGGUUAGUAAAUCUUCAAAGAACCGGUAUAACCCAUUGUAUUUUCGGGUUUGGGUCCCAAUCAAUUCUUCGGUUUAACAAUACAUGAUUUGUACCUAUUUUGUAACUAAAACAUAAAUGAAAUCGGUUCUUCGGAUUUAAAAUACAUGAUUUGUACAUAUUUUAAUAGCCAAAACAUAAGUAAAAUCGAUUCAAAAAUAAGAAAAAACAUUAAACAUGAUCAUUCAAAAUCUAGCGAAAGAUAAACAUAGUUAGUGAUAGAAAGAAAACCAGAUAAAUGAAAUCAUAAAACAAAAACUAAGUUCUCAUGAAAUGAGAAACACUAUUCAAUAAAAACAAAACCAAAAUAAAAAAAACUUUAGGCUUCAACCGCUACAUUCCACCAUCAACCUUCAUGUAUUAGAUAAUUAUUUUAGAAGUUCAAUAAUAUUUUAAAGUAUUUUGGAUACAUAUUAAGAAUUAAAAUCAUAUUUGGUAAAAGUUCUUUUUGUUAUUAUAAAUAUUUCGGGUUCUAUCGGAUAUCCAUUUAGGUCCGGGUUCGGUUC
rnacentral:lncRNA from 1 species